rnacentral:tmRNA from 1 species
GGGGGCGUAAAGGUUUCGACGGGGACUUUGAACCACAAUAAGCGAGUAGAGCCGGUGUAUACUCUUUAAACUGCGCCACGUUUAAAUAUAAACGCUAGAAAAAACAUUACUGUAAGCACAAGAAACUUACAGGUAGCAGCCUAAGUCUGCUACUGUCCUCCUUUUGAGUACCACGGCAAAAGCUUGGGCAUCGACUUAGUGGUGAACGUUCUUCCGGUUCGCUCCAACCGGCUGAAUGUACCCGGAGCUACUGACACUGUCAGCCUGUUUGUCGGCGGUCAGCAGAGGGAAUGCUAAACGAUAAACUACACUCGUAGAAAGUUGUGCGGAUUGGCUCUCGGACACGGGUUCGACUCCCGUCGCCUCCACCA